rnacentral:rRNA from 1 species
AUUGAACGCUGGCGGCAGGCUUAACACAUGCAAGUCGAGCGGGGUGAUGGUGCUUGCACUAUCACUUAGCGGCGGACGGGUGAGUAAUGCUUAGGAAUCUGCCUAUUAGUGGGGGACAACACCUCGAAAGGGAUGCUAAUACCGCAUACGUCCUACGGGAGAAAGCAGGGGAUCACUUGUGACCUUGCGCUAAUAGAUGAGCCUAGGUCGGAUUAGCUAGUUGGUGGGGUAAAGGCCUACCAAGGCGACGAUCUGCAGCGGGUCUGAGAGGAUGAUCCGCCACACUGGGACUGAGACACGGCCCAGACUCCUACGGGAGGCAGCAGUGGGGAAUAUUGGACAAUGGGGGGAACCCUGAUCCAGCCAUGCCGCGUGUGUGAAGAAGGCCUUAUGGUUGUAAAGCACUUUAAGCGAGGAGGAGGCUCUUUUGGUUAAUACCCAAGAUGAGUGGACGUUACUCGCAGAAUAAGCACCGGCUAACUCUGUGCCAGCCGCCGCCGUAA